UUUUGGACAAUGGGCGAAAGCCUGAUCCAGCAAUGCCGCGUGUGGGAAGAAGGCCUUCGGGUUGUAAACCACUUUUGUACGGAACGAAAAGGUCUGCCCUAAUACGGUGGGCCCAUGACGGUACCGUAAGAAUAAGCACCGGCUAACUACGUGCCAGCAGCCGCGGUAAUACGUAGGGUGCGAGCGUUAAUCGGAAUUACUGGGCGUAAAGCGUGCGCAGGCGGUUAUAUAAGACAGUUGUGAAAUCCCCGGGCUCAACCUGGGAAUUGCAUCUGUGACUGUAUAGCUAGAGUACGGUAGAGGGGGAUGGAAUUCCGCGUGUAGCAGUGAAAUGCGUAGAUAUGCGGAGGAACACCGAUGGCGAAGGCAAUCCCCGGACCUGUACUGACGCUCAUGCACGAAA
rnacentral:rRNA from 1 species